GACGAUUGGGUUCUGUGUCGUAUAUACAAGAAGAACUCGAGUGCACAGAAGGCGGCGCAGAACGGCGUCGUUUCGAGCAGGGAAUACACUCAAUACAGCAACGGUUCGUCGUCGUCGUCUUCGUCCCAUCUGGACGACGUUCUGGAAUCGCUGCCGACGAUCGACGAACGAUGUUUUGCGAUGCCACGUGUCAGUACGAUGCAGGCACAGCAGGAGGAGAAGGUGAGCAUUCAUCAGAACCUGGGUGCGGGUGGGUUGGUGGAUUGGGCCAAUCCUGCGGUUCUGAAUUCGGUGGGUGAAUUCGUUUCGGGGAAUAAUCAAGUGGUGCAGGAGCAGACACAGGGGAUGGUGAACUACGGCGGGUGCAAUGACCUUUAUGUCCCCACGUUCUGCCACGUGGAGUCUACACUUCCGCAAAAGAUGGAGGAAGAGGUGCAAAGCGGUGUGAGAAGCCAAAACAACAAUAACCCGUGGUUUGUUCAGAACGAAUUUACGCAGGGGUAUCAGAACCCGGUGGACACGUGUGGGUUUAAGUUCCCGGUUCAGGCGGUGGGAUUCGGGUUCAGGCAAUGAAGCUGAGCGGGUUAUGAAAAAAGAAAUAAUGUUUAUUUUGUGUAAAUAGGUGGGGAUUGUUUGGGCUAACUCGUUGGGUUUUAGGUUCCUUUUUAGAAAAGGUGAAAAUUUUGGUCUUCAUUUUCGGCUAAAGAAUGAAUCGAUCCAGGAGAUAAAGCAAUGAUGGAAUGGAACCAUUUAAUUUAUUAGAACGUAGUUUUCGGCCACAGAAAGCUUACUCACCCACAUGAAUCACAUUUUGUACUUAAAAAUCAACUUCAAAUUGUUCCAGUGUUAGGUUUCGUUAAUUUCGAUCUUCCUAUGUCCACAUGUUUCUUUAUUACUGUAUGUAUACGCAGUUUAUGCACGUGUAAAAUGAGUCACCGUUCGGAAGGUAGGCGCAUUGCCAUUACCAGAAACAAAGAGAUAAGGUUCGUAUAUAUUGAAUUUUUCUCUGCGUGAAAAAUGAAAUUCCAAACUCAAGUGCCCCUUUUCUAUUUUUUUUUUCUCUUCUUAUCUGUAUUUUUG
rnacentral:lncRNA from 1 species